rnacentral:rRNA from 1 species
GUAGGGUCCAAGCGUUAAUCGGAAUUACUGGGCGUAAAGCGUGCGCAGGCGGUUGUGCAAGACCGAUGUGAAAUCCCCGAGCUUAACUUGGGAAUUGCAUUGGUGACUGCACGGCUAGAGUGUGUCAGAGGGGGGUAGAAUUCCACGUGUAGCAGUGAAAUGCGUAGAGAUGUGGAGGAAUACCGAUGGCGAAGGCAGCCCCUGGGAUAACACUGACGCUCAUGCACGAAAGCGUGGGGAGCAAACAGGAUUAGAUACCCUGGUAGUCCACGCCCCUAAACGAUGCAACUAGUUGUUGGGGAUUCAUUUCCUUAGUAACGUAGCUAACGCGUGAAGUUGACCGCCUGGGAGUACGGUCGCAAGAUUA